rnacentral:rRNA from 1 species
UACGGAGGAUCCAAGCGUUAUCCGGAUUUAUUGGGUUUAAAGGGUGCGUAGGCGGUUUUAUAAGUUAGAGGUGAAAUCUCGGGGCUCAACUCCGAAAUUGCCUCUAAUACUGUAGGACUAGAGAGUAGUUGCGGUAGGCGGAAUGUAUGGUGUAGCGGUGAAAUGCAUAGAUAUCACGCAGAACUCCGAUUGCGAAGGCAGCAUACCGGCGCCCAACUGACGCUGAAGCACGAAAGCGUGGGUAUCGAACAGG